rnacentral:rRNA from 1 species
UCCUACGGGAGGCAGCAGUGGGGAAUAUUGCGCAAUGGGCGAAAGCCUGACGCAGCGACGCCGCGUGAGGGAUGAAGGCCUUCGGGUCGUAAACCUCUGUCAGGAGGGAAGAACCGCCAUGGUGCUAAUCAGCCAUGGUCUGACGGUACCUCCAAAGGAAGCACCGGCUAACUCCGUGCCAGCAGCCGCGGUAAUACGGAGGGUGCAAGCGUUAAUCGGAAUCACUGGGCGUAAAGCGCGCGUAGGCGGCCUUUUAAGUCAGAGGUGAAAUCCCACGGCUCACCCGUGGAACUGCCUUUGAUACUGGAGGGCUUGAGUGUGUGAGAGGAUAGUGGAAUUCCUGGUGUAGGAGUGAAAUCCGUAGAGAUCAGGAGGAACAUCAGUGGCGAAGGCGACUAUCUGGCACAAUACUGACGCUGAGGUGCGAAAGCGUGGGUAUCAAACAGGAUUAGAUACCCUGGUAGUCCACGCUGUAAACGAUGGAUACUAGGUGCUGGGGGCUCGACUCUCGGUGCCGUAGCUAACGCGUUAAGUAUCCCGCCUGGGGAGUACGG